rnacentral:lncRNA from 1 species
CUGCAGAAGAGGAAGAUCCUUGAGGCAAGUUAGGUAGUUUGAUUUUUGCAGAAUUCAAUGUUAUCUGAAGUCGGAGGAGGGGAGAGAGAAAAAGAGAGAGGAUUAGUGAAAAGCUGUUAUUUUCGAUCUCACGUUUAAGGAGGCCUCCUCUGGACAACUGAGCUGCUACAAAAGCUGGGCAGCCAAGUGUGUGAAGUUGGGGAAAGGCUGACAUCCAUGUCGCCUGAGCUCUGUCCUGCACGUGGCCUUCAAGCUGCCGGCCUCAGCGUUGAUCUCGAUGCCCUUCGGAGCCUCCAUCACCAGUGCGCGCGUGGGUGACUCCAGUCUGAAAGAGAAAAGGGCCUUACUGAGCCUCGUGGGCUGAGGAUUCGCCUGUAGCCUUUGGCUGUGAUCUUGAACAGUCUGAGUGCACACUGCAAGGCAGCCUGGCACCACCCGAAGUUCAGAUUCACAGCUGGUUCAGUCAGCAGCAAGAAACCACGUGCAACCACAGAAUCAUAAAGGAUGGAACAUACCACUAAGAUCACCUACUCCAACCCCAACCUGCUCCCACCAUGCCCACUAACCCACGUUCCUCAGUGUGACAUCCACCUUCUUCAUGAAUGCCUCCAGGGAUGGUGACUCCACCACCUCCCUGGGCAGCCUGUGCCAAUGCCGGACCACUGAAAUCUUUCCUAAUAUCUAACCUGAAUGUGGUAAAAGACUCUACAAAUCCAAUCUGCCAGCAUUUCACAUCAGCUUUGCUGAGCUGUAAAUGCUGGAACGAGAAGCGAGGUGCAAUAAAGCUUCUGCCGUGAUUAACUCCCUCAUGCAAUGGCUUGGAUUUGUAACUAAUGAAUACUAACGGAGGAUAUUAGCAAAGCAGGAUAGCUACACAGAGAGCACAAGCACUUUUCCUCCUCAAAGCACUGCUAAGCAGGAGCAAAUUCAUUCUCAUGACUCCCUGUAACGUGAAAUGUUUAAAGGUUUAAUGACAUAAGAAAAUGGACAAAAGAAAAAGAUGGAAAUCCCCCACAUUCCCAGUCUCCGGUGCUAUGCUCACAUUGCAGUGCUCACAGCAGCAGCCUCCCCAGUGCUUUGACCCGUCCUAACUGUGGUUAUGUGAGGGAGAUCUGACAACCCCAUUACAGCUCUGGCUAACACAGCCAAACCUUUUAGUUCAGGCAAUUGAGGUUAAUGCUCUAAGAUCUGGAAGUGCAAGGUUCAGUCUUGCUGGCUAAUUAUUCAUUCAUAGGUCCUGUAUUGUACUUGUCUCUUCUCUUCUUUAUAAAACAGACUCUCAUUACUUUCUGUAUUGAAAAUAACAAUAAAAAUACUUCUCCCUCUUUGGCAAUUCCUCCUUGUUGACUUUAUCACAGCUAAUUUUCUGUACCAUCAGCAAAUCUCAACUGUGAUCUCACCAAGCUGAAGCCAGAAGGACAACUUGAACAAAAG